GGAUGCGAUCAUACCAUCACUAAAGCACCGGAUCCCAUUAGAACUCCGAAGUUAAGCGUGCUUGGGCGAGAGUAGUACUAGGAUGGGUGACCUCCUGGGAAGUCCUCGUGUUGCAUUCC
rnacentral:rRNA from 1 species